GUGGGGAAUUUUGGACAAUGGGCGCAAGCCUGAUCCAGCAAUGCCGCGUGCAGGAAGAAGGCCUUCGGGUUGUAAACUGCUUUUGUACGGAACGAAACGGUCCGGGUUAAUACCCUGGGCUAAUGACGGUACCGUAAGAAUAAGCACCGGCUAACUACGUGCCAGCAGCCGCGGUAAUACGUAGGGUGCAAGCGUUAAUCGGAAUUACUGGGCGUAAAGCGUGCGCAGGCGGUUUUGUAAGACAGGCGUGAAAUCCCCGGGCUCAACCUGGGAAUUGCGCUUGUGACUGCAAGGCUGGAGUGCGGCAGAGGGGGAUGGAAUUCCACGUGUAGCAGUGAAAUGCGUAGAUAUGCGGAGGAACACCGAUGGCGAAGGCAAUCCCCUGGGCCUGCACUGACGCUCAUGCACGAAAGCGUGGGGAGCAAACAGGAUUAGAAACCCCGGUAGUCC
rnacentral:rRNA from 1 species